rnacentral:lncRNA from 1 species
UUCAAUGGUCCACAGCCAAAAUACGGACAUGUCCUGGCCUCCCUGCAAUGAUUUCUUGCUGCGUGACCAUACUUUGCUGCUCCAGCUCCCUCUGCCCCAGCGCAGCUUGCAUCCAGCUGGGCUCCUGCCCUGGAGCUUGGUGGGGCCGCGUGCUGCAGGGCGUGCUCGGAGCUCAGCUCCCAGCUCUGCUCCUGACUCACCAGGAAACCCCAGGAAAUCAGCUUCGCUUCAGGCCCUUCGCUUCCUCUUCCUGUAAAGGAAAAAAAAAACACAUAAAUAAGACACGUUAAUGCACAUUAAGGUUGCUUGCAGAAACUCAGGGAAAAAGAAACCAGUGCUGGGCAGGUUACCUGGUGCCUUGCUCGCCCUGUCUGCGGGGGUGCUCUGCCAGCAGCCUUUGCGUGCAGCUCCCACCGCAGCUCAGUGGUGGCUCUGGGACACUUUACUCCACGGUUCCUGACAUGCAGAACCUCAGUCCUAGAGAUCCUGGAGGGGGAAAAGAGAAACUGGAAUAACAGAAAAUCAGGCCUCCUGUAUGAAGCAGUGCAUGGGAAGCAUCUUUGCAUGGGGAACUUGUGUUAACGGGGACAAAGCAGAGCUGCAGUAGAACAGCUGACUACCUCACCUGGGUGGCUCCAGCCAGGAUUGUGGGGUUGCCCUUCUUGCUGGUCUAAUUACCCAGAAAUGAGUGGGAGACACAUCCUCAUUCUUGCAAACAACCGAGCAUAUCAGAAGUGUGGUAGCUUGAAACAAGCAGCAUUCUCCGCCCUCCACCCAUCAUCCUCCUUGCUUCAUCCAAGCUCCCUGUCACUCUAAAAUCUGCUUGCUGAUAAAUGCAUGUCAGCUAGCAGCAGCUUAAAACCCCAUAAUCUGUUGAGUGCCCGCUGCUGGUACACCUAAAGGGGCUCCCCAUGUUCCUCACCCCCCUCUGCCACCAUGAGGACCCUGAUGAGGCACAUCGCAGGGGGGCUGCGUUGUGGUCCUCCCGCAGGGGUGCACGACUGGGUCACUGGGCUGUGCAUGGGGACAGGGUGCGCUGUGCUCGGGGCAGGGCUCUGCUGAGUGUGAGAUCUGCACAGGGCAUGGCUCGGCUGGAUGUCCUGUCUUCUUUGCCAAAAUGUGGGCGUGCAGGAUGCAGCACAGCAGAAAGGGAGCAGCUCUCAGCCAUGGAGGAAGCAACCCAGGGAGGCACUGAGGUGUCUGAGCAGCACCGAGGUCACCAACCUUCUCUCCUGCUGGCUGUCCGCUUGUCCCAGAGCUCCCAGAACGUGCUGAAGGACUCAGCACAUUGCUGCAGUGGGGUUAAACGCUGGAGCGUGCGCAUUUUGCCACACUUCUAACUCCUCUGCGUUGGCUGCAAGAGGAAAUUUUAAUCAGCACCGCGAUAACAGCCUUUCAGUCCUGCUGGGAGUUAUCAGUGCCUUUGUUUGUAAAUGGAGCUGCUUGAUACUGCUGCGGCUCUGGGCAUGGCUGCAGCCCUUGGGCUUAGCAGCCCCCUCCUGCUACUGGCCUGGGGAGCAAAAAUGGGCCCAGCUGGGCAGAAUCAGGCCCGAGCCAUCCCAUCCCUGCCUCUGCUGUCACAGGGAGACAGACUGCUGGAUUUCAGUCUGUUGCAAGCUUCAAAGGGAAGCUGAUGAAUAUCAGAACCUGGUAAUUUAGCCUCUGCAGAGCACACACGAUAUAUUCAUAAUCAUUUUGCAUGUAGAUGAGCUAAUAACACAAUCAUGGUUAUAAAUCAAACCCAGGAGAUGCAUUACUGCUGUUCGCCUGAGCUUUAUGAGUGUGCGAGCCAAAGAAAAUGUCUGUCUGUCUCCUAGAUGGGGCCAAUUAACCUUAUAAAGAUGCUCUCCCCUCUCACAGCAGCUUGUUUGUUUACUUGGGCGCUGCUGCCUGCUGUUAUUUUCCAUCUGGAAGAUGGGACAGCGUUGGUGAGGGAUUCAGUGGAGGCCAGGGAUAAAGAGAAAAGGAAACCAGGCUCAGGAGAGACAGUGCCUUGAUCAGCAA